CUCUCCUUAAUUGGGGCUUAAGGGAAGGAUCGGCCUCACGGCCUCACGCCAGGGUCAAGUUAUGCAGCAGACAGAAAGUGAUCUUGGUGCAGGAAGACAGCCAAAACGGGUUCCAGCAGAGCUGAGUCUUCCCACUCAUUCCUUCCACAACGGGGCUCCUGUGAUCCUGCUACGGUGCCCGUGCCUGCGUGGGAAGCCAGUCUAAGGACCUUCCCGUGUUGACCUCGCUUCUCACCCCAGCUGGCCACUCCCUUUCCAUGGCUUUCCUCAUCCUUUCCCGUUCAUUCUCACUUCCCAGCAGGCCAGGACUGAUCCCUCUGUGGAAAGGCCCCUCCUCCCUCAGUGUCUUCGUCAGGCCAGUCUCUCCGCACCCUUCUAGACCUGUUCCUGUCACUCUGGAUGUUCUGUGUUGGUCUGAAAACCCUGCCUAGGAACAGCAACCUAGA